GGAUCCUUGGUGUAGCGGUAACACACCCACAAAAGUUAAACCAUUUGCUUUCUUUCUGCGAGAGAUCGCCUGUUCAGUUCAGGCAGGAUCUG